CUAAAAAUAAUAGUCUUCAAUAAUGUGCCUGUGGACUGUGGUUCUUUCAUUGCAGCGGGUCUGGACCCUCAUCUGCAAGGACUCGGGUCUUUAAUAUCGCGAAGGCCGGGUGCGCGUGGGCGACCUGCCCCCUGGUGACCAGGGGAGGUGACGGGCGUAGAGGGGACAGGGCGACCGCCCAUCAGGUUGGAGGCUCUGCCCCUGGAUCCGAAGCCUGGCUGCCCUGGGCCCUGCGCUCAGUCGCACUUGAAUAUUUCUACGUGUAGACGCGCAGGACGACCCCGAAAUGCGGGGACUCAACUUACCGAGCGAAGUUGCAGAAAUAUUCUGAGGGCAGCCCGGGUGGCUCAGUGGUUUAGCGCCGCCUUCGGCCCAGGGCCUGACCCUGGAGACCCUGGAUUGAGUCCCACGUGGGGCUCCCUGCAUGGGGCCUGCUUCUCCCUCUGCCUGUGUCUCUACCUCUCUCUCUCUCUCUGUCUCUCAUGAAUAAAUAAAUAUUAAAAAAAAAAGAAAUAUUCUGAUGACGUGUGGUCCCUGUGCU
rnacentral:lncRNA from 1 species